UACGUAGAAGACUAGUGUUAUUCAUCUUUAAUAGGUUUAAAGGGUACCUAGACGGUAUAAUUAGUCUUAAACAGGAUACGAUUAUACUAGAGUUAUAUAUGAGGAGGUGAGUAUUUAUGCAGUAGAGUUGAAAUUCGUUGAUAGCAUAACGACUGGUAACGGCGAAAGCAACCUUUUAUCUAAUAACUGACGUCGAGGGACGAAGGCUCGGGUAACGAACAGG
rnacentral:rRNA from 1 species